UUUCAAAAAUUCAAAGAUAAAUCUUUUGAAGGGAGAAGAACUGGAUACAAAUUUGUAAUCAGCAACCUCAAAAGCCCCCCAUUGACGAGUAUCAAGCAAAACCUAUCAAUAAUAAUACUAAUACUAAUAUUCAUCGAUAUAAACAAGCAAAUCUGUGAGAUUUAUUCAAAAUUGCCCAUAAUUGCCCACUUGGCUACCUCUCUUAUCUGAAAGACAGUGAAAGCUAUAGAACUAUGCUUUAGUUUGGAUUGUUGGGCAUCGUUUUGGCACAAAUAGUGCCAUCUGGAUACGAUUUGUAGUGUAAUUUAGCUUUUCGUCUCAAGCCAUGAGUAUCUCAAUGGCCAAGGCUCAUUACUUAAGGCUUAAAGCAUAAGAAACCAGUAUGAAUAACAUUAUUAGUCCUAUGGGGAAUGCUGUAUAUGCGGUCCAUCAUUCUAAAUGAGCUGGAAUAACAUAUAAAAGGAUCCAACAGAUACAAGCAUAAGCCGCCAAAGAGCACAGAGGGCGCAAGUCAAACUACAUUGCCUUCCCUCCCUCUUUGCCCUCUACUGUACUCGUAUACACUUAUCCGUUGCGAACAGGAUGACAGACAGAGGGACACACAGCUGUCGCCACAUCAGUCC
rnacentral:sRNA from 1 species